CAGCAGCCACGGUAAUACAGAGGGUGCGAGUGUUAAUCGGAUUUACUGGGCGUAAAGCGUGCGUAGGCGGCUUUUUAAGUCGGAUGUGAAAUCCCUGAGCUUAACUUAGGAAUUGCAUUCGAUACUGGGAAGCUAGAGUAUGGGAGAGGAUGGUAGAAUUCCAGGUGUAGCGGUGAAAUGCGUAGAGAUCUGGAGGAAUACCGAUGGCGAAGGCAGCCAUCUGGCCUAAUACUGACGCUGAGGUACGAAAGCAUGGGGAGCAAACAGGAUUAGAUACCCCGGUAGUCCCUGUCUCUUAUAC
rnacentral:rRNA from 1 species